GGGGGAGGCACAGGAGGCUGCGAUGCAGUCGCCUGUGUCAGAAGUCGUGGUGUCUAAUCCGGGCUUGCUGAAGGAGGUCGAUCCUGGUACUAGGUUGAUCGAUGCCCUGGAAAUGAUGAAGCAGGGAGUAAGGCGCCUCCUUGUCCGUAAGAGUAUCGCAUGGAAGGGCUUUAGCAAGCGGUUUUCUGUUCUCUACCAUGGCCGAUGGCUGAAGACAGUUGACUCGUUCUCAUCCACCAGUAACCAGCUGCCUCUGUCUCCCCACCCCGACGAAAACUACUGCUGCCUUUCCCGUGAAGAUGUGGCUCGCUUCCUCAUUGGCUGCCUUGGUGCCCUUGCC
rnacentral:misc_RNA from 1 species